AUGUGGCUAAAUGGUAUAGCAGCUGCUUUGCAGGUAGAAGGUUCCGGGUUCAAAUCCCAGCAUCUAUA
rnacentral:tRNA from 1 species